CUUAUAAUUUGGAACGGAGGGAGUACCAUAUAUUACUAUUGUUUAUAUAAAUUUAGUCAAAGUUAUUUUUUGAAUCGGGAAUGACAGUUAGUAAGGGGCCGAGGGAGUAGCUAAAGGAAACAAUAUUUUAUUUUUAGUGGAUCCCUUCAUUAGAAAUUUUAGUUAGCUAAAAUAUUGGAACAAUUUUGAACUAAAGAAGUAACUCAUCGUGAAUUUUUUUAUAGAAUACGAAAAUAGUCAAUUAUUUGUUUUUAAUCACAUAAUAUAGAUCAAACCUUAUUCUUAUGAUUACACUAAAGAUGAAAUGCGCAUAUUUUAAUGUUGACAAGAUCUACACAGAUGUCAACUGACACACUAAGCAGCCGUGUUUAAGUCUAGAACUUAAACUCAGCCGAGCCCGUUCCACCACAAGAUAGACAACCAAAUGUAGAUUUUGUUUGAGGGGAAAAUGCAGAUGCAGGAGUUCGUUUGGUACCUGCCGCUCACACUCAGGGGGGCCCAUCAACCGUCACACCACCAUGUAUUCAUGUGUCAUGGAUUGAAAGUGGAACGUUCACUGGCAUGGCAGUCCAUUAGCUAAAUAAAAGGCUCGGCCCAUAGGGCCCCAACAGCCCAUAACAUAACAUUUCGCCUGACGCGUCUGAUAGGUCUUCUUUCUCCCUGUGUCUUGCAGUCCCUAGACUCUAAUCGGCAAGGCCCAAGGCGACCGGCGUAUCAGUCAGACAAAGUGUUAUUCUUCUACACUAAACUAUUAUAAGAAUUCAUUAUCGCUCA